CCUACGGGAGGCAGCAGUGGGGGAUAUUGCACAAUGGGGGAAACCCUGAUGCAGCGACGCCGCGUGGGCGAAGAAGUAUUUCGGGAUGUAAAGCCCUAUUAGCAGGGAAGAAGAAAUGACGGUACCUGAGGAAGAAGCACUGGCUAAAUACGUGCCAGCAGCCGAGGUAAUACGUAUGGCGCAAGCGUUAUCCGGAUUUACUGGGUGUAAAGGGAGUGCAGGGGGCACGGCAAGCCUGAUGUGAAAGCCCGCGGCCCAACCGCGGGACUGCAUUUGAAACUACCGGGCUGGAGUGCCGGGGAGGUAGGCGGAAUUCCUAGUGUAGCGGUGAAAUGCGUAGAUAUUA
rnacentral:rRNA from 1 species